CCUAAGAAAUAGGUAAAGCUUGCUUGCAAAUGAGUGUGGCUUUCGGGGAUUCUUGAUGGCUAGGAUUUCGGCUGUCGUCGACAGGUAAGGUUUUGGUUUCGAUUUAGGAUUGAAUUUGAUUCCGCCGUGGCAAAGAAAGACUGCGGCGGGUCAGCGGCGAGCCAACGACAGUGAGGGUUGUCAUUGUCAGUGAGGAGCGAGCUACAUUCGAGAGAGAAGUUUUAGAGUAACGAGUGAGUGUGGCCUUUACACUUGGGGGAAAAAGAGGUUGAAAGACUAAUAAAGGUGUGAAACAACGUCAUUUCACUUCUUUGUUUUGAUGUUGUUUUAUUUUUUUUUUUUAUUAUUUAGAAUUUUUAAUAUUUCGGUCAAAUCUAAAGUCAAAAUAAAAUUCUACCAUAAUUUCUUGAUAGAGAAAAUAUAUAUCAUUAAUUGGUCAUAAGUAUUUGACAACAGUAAAUUUUAUCACAUUUAUAUCAUAAAUUUUUGAUAGAAAUUUUUUUUGUCACAUGUAUGUCAUACUUAUAGGAUAUAAAGCCUUUUAACCAAAAAUUAUCACAUGAGUAACUGUCAUUAUAGGUCAUUUUUAUUGUAGUGUUAGUUUUGGUUAUUAAGUUUAGAUUCCAAAUGAAUAAGUCUUCCUAUUUACAAGGAACUGAAUUUGUAAUAGCCCUAUUUAUUUGAAGUUCAGUGAAUAACAGAGUAUACUUUUACCAAUUUCACUUGAAGUCUAACAUAGGAGGAUUUGGGUUUCUCUUGAAGUACCCAAGUGUUACAACUUUAUAUUAAUUCUCUGUUGAAGAAAAACUCUAAGACAUCAAACUAGGUAGAACUAAGGACGCCAUACCAAAAAAUCGGUUCAAAAAUUUGAAAAUUUUAAAAAUAAAAAUCAGUAAUUGAUUUUGGAAUUUACUAAAAUCAAUGGGGGAUUCAAGAAAAUGAGAGAUUCAUAUUUCAAUUUUUGAAAGGACAACAGUCUCCCUCUGCAGUAUAUAUGUUUGAGAGAGAGUGUAUAAAUGUGUGUUUUACUAUGAGUUGAAAAAGAGAGAGAGUAGAGCACAAAUUGAUAAAGGAUGUGAUCAACUCUAAAUACACUUACGCAAAGUUUACUAAACAGGAAUUGGAAUAGGCUAGAGUCGGAAUGAGCUAAAAUCGAAAUAAGAAAUUGGAAUCAGAAUAAGUUGUUUACUUGAGCUGUAGGAAUCAAAAUCAUAACUAAUUGCAUUUCCAUUUAUGUACUUACUUUAUCUUAAAAUCGGAAUGGACUGUUGCAAGUUACUAAAAUAUCCUUUGUUAAUUAUUGUCCUUAGCAUUAUUUGUAUAUAUUAUAAUAAUGACAAUAACAAGAAUAAAAUUAAUAAUAAUAAUGAAAUUAAUGACGACAACGACAACAACAAUAAAACAACGACGACAUUAACGAAAGUAAUAAUAACAAUUUGAAUAAAUUAAUUAAUAAAUUUUGAUAAUAAUAAUAAUAAUAAUAAAUUAAUAGAUUUUAAUAAUGAUAAUAUUAAAAUACUAAUAUAUAAUAAUAAUAAUAAUUAAAAUAAUAGAAAAAUAAAUUUUAAUAACAAUAAUAUUAAUACAAUAAUCUGCUGUACGUCGACAGGUAAGGUUUUGGUUUCGAUUUAGGAUUGAAUUUGAUUCCGCCGUGGCAAAGAAAGACUGCGGCGGGUCAGCGGCGAGCCAACGACAGUGAGGGUUGUCAUUGUCAGUGAGGAGCGAGCUACAUUCGAGAGAGAAGUUUUAGAGUAACGAGUGAGUGUGGCCUUUACACUUGGGGGAAAAAGAGGUUGAAAGACUAAUAAAGGUGUGAAACAACGUCAUUUCAC
rnacentral:lncRNA from 1 species